rnacentral:lncRNA from 1 species
AAAAUCUCCACAAGUUAGGGAGGCCAGAAAUAUAAGGGAUUUGGACAAAGAUUCAGUUCCAGCUCCAACUUAGUUCAACAUCACAAGGUUUCCAUAGAACGCAAAGCUGUAAAUAUGGUGAAUGUGGUAGAGUUCCCCUGCAUCUAGCUUUUCAUCAUUGAGAGAGAAUUCACAGUGGGGUAAGGUUCUGUCAAUGUGAGUGUGGGAAGUCCUUCACUCUGAGCUCUAUCCCUUAUGCCCCACCAGAGGAGACAUUCUGGGGCUAGACUCCCCUGAAAGAUUUGCCCAACUGUGGAAAAUCUUUCAGCCAGAUUUCAUAUCUUAGGCAACAUCAGCAAGUGCAUACUGAAAAAAAAUCCUAUGUAUGUAAUGAGCAUGGGCAAGUUUUAACCUGGAGCUCAGCCGUUGCUGCCCAUCAAAGAGUCUACAUCAGGGAG